GGGGGGGCGCCGGCGGUGGAGCUGGGUCCCGGGGACCCGGACCGGCCCUCGGACUUCAGCCAGACCCGCCCCUUAACGAGCGAGCCCGCGGGGUGUCCGGAGGACGCCCCCCGGCUCCGAGCCGUGUUCGAAGCCCUGGACGGGGAUGGAGACGGCUUCGUCCGCAUCGCGGACUUCGUCCAGUUCGCCACCGUCUACGGGGCAGAGCAGGUGACGGAGCUAACGAGCUGCUUGGAUCCCAGUGGGCUUGGCGUGAUUAGCUUCGAAGACUUCUCCCGAGGGGUCAUGGCGAUCAGGAAUGGAGAUCCCGACGGCCAGGGCCAGCUCUACGGUGUCCCGCCCGCUCCCGAGGAGGAGUCGCCGGCCUGCCCUGAGGAGUUCGACGACUUCGUGACCUUUGAGGCAAGUGGUUUUCCGGGAGAGCUGAGGGUCGGCGGCGCCCCUCGUCCUCCUGCGCGCACCGUCCUGCUUGUCCUGGUCCCCAGCGCUGUCUCUGUAGGGACGCGGGAAGGGCGGGCUGGGCUCCCUGAGACAGCGGUCGGGCGCUGGGCUUGGCCGUCUGCCCUGCGUGCUGCUGGGGAGAGGGGCGCGCGCGCGGGAGGUCGUGUGUGGCCCCGUCCGGAGAGGCCCUCUGGGUGCUGCUGCCCAGGGCUCCACGGCUCCCCUCGCUGUCCUGCCCCUGCUCCGAGAAGCUGCCCGGGUGGUGGUCACCCUCAGAGGACGCAGGUUCACCUCCCGCCAGCACAGGCCCCCUGGGCGCCUUCACCCCUCACUGCUUUGUCCCCAGAGACCAGCUGGACCCGGGCCCACCCCAUCCAGCAGCUGUCAGUGUUGUAUGUGACCCUGGGGCCAGUCCUGGGGCCCAGAUGGGACGAGUGUUGGCUGUGAGGCACAGCGUGGCCGGGCGAGGGCCACGGGGAGGACGCGAGGCCCCAUGCCAGACCCCCAGACUGUGGGGCAGUGUGGCCUGGGGACGCUAGGGAUUGACACAACUUGGACUUCCCAAGAGGCCACCAAGUCAGGGGAGAGUCCGCUUCUCUUGUUCGGUGCAUCGUUCCUGUGGUUGGCCAGCAGCUGACCCUGCCGUCAGGCCCGCCGACACACCAGCACUCACUUUAUGGGUGUUGUGGGUCGAAUAGUAGCCCCCAAAAGAUAUGUCCACUGCAGCUCGUGACCGUGGCCUUGUCCGCGGAGGAAUCUUUGUGGAUCAGUUUAAGGCUUUUAAGAGGCCAUCGUGCUGGGUAGACUGGGCCCUGAACCCAACGACCGGGACCCUCGAAGAGAAAGGGAGCUGACACUGCAGAGAAGGUGGCGAGAAGACGCNNNNNNNNNNNNNNNNNNNNNNNNNNNNNNNNNNNNNNNNNNNNNNNNNNNNNNNNNNNNGGAAAGCAGGAGAUUUAUUAAGGCUUCGGAGGGGGCCGGGCAGAGGUCCCGGGCGCCAGCCCUGACUGCAAGGAGCCUCCCAAAGGACCUGUGGCGGGAAACUGCGGCUGGAUGGGGUUCCCGGCGGGGCGACUAAGAAGGGGGGACGGCCAGGGGAGGGUCGGGGGUCCCCGGACGGAGGGCGGUUCAUCUGCGCAGGCAGUUUCCUGAGGGCCAUUGUUUCUCGCGGCCCAGCCUGAGCCUCCACAUUCCGGGUGGGGGUCCCCAGCAGGUCUCCAAGGCGAACAGCCGCAUCCAGGCUCGGGGUCUGUCUCCAGCCUCCUGGGAACCUAUUCAAGGACCUGGACGAGCCGGGCAGGGUCUCCGGGAGUCCCAUUCGCCAGGGUAGUGAAAGGUGUGGCAUGUGUGACCCGAACGGGUGAGACCCUUGACGCUGGCCUGGCUCCAGAAGCCUGGGCGUGGCAGGCGCAGGCACCGCCUGCCCUUUGGCCCCUCCCUUUCUCUGUGCCGGCGACCCCCACCCCCAUCCCGAGCCCACUUGAGUGCGGCCCUGCGCACUCGCGGUGGAGGCUGGCAUGGCAAAGGCCCCGCUGCCCGUGGGGACCAGUGCGUGCCAGGGCCUCUGCGGGGCCAUGGGAAAGUCGCAGAGGCCACGCCAACGGGGCGCUAAGAGUUGUCCCGGCUCUGCUUGUCCGCUCUCCCUCUUCCUCCCACCGAGCCGGGCAAGACGACAGGGAGACAGGGCUUUUGUGCAGACUCUUAUCUGAAAGGUUAGAGAUUGAAGAACAAAAGCUUCUCUGUUUUGAGAUCUGACUAUGGUUAAAAAUUCCCUGCACGUCCUGAACUUUGGACCCCUCGCUGGCCGGCUGGCCGCAGGUGUAAUGGAGCGUGCCCUGCGAGCGGGCUCAGCGGGCUCAGCGGCCCCAGAGGCCCCAGCGGUGAUGUACUCUCAGAGGAGCACCGCGGGCAAGUAGGUGGCUGCUGGAAGCCGCCAGAGUCCCCAGCGCCCUGACCCCAUGGGAAGGCCGCCUCCACGAGCAGGCCCUUCCCGGAGCUGGUGUGCGGAGCCAGGCCUGGGCCCGGCUGACGUCUGAGGGUAAGAGAAGGCUGUGCCCGGCAGUGGUUCCCCGCGGAGGUGCUGGGCGUGCUUGGGCGCGCCUGAGGUCCUCACUGAUGCCCGUGAGUGGGAGCUUCCUUGUCUGCCUGUUGGCUGACCGGUGAAGGAGGCACAGCCGCAUGUUCUCAGUGCACUUCAAUGUCCAUGUGGGUUCAGCCUCACGUGUAACUUGUGGUCAUGUUGAGUUGGUGGCAUAGGCAGCGGCCUGGGCAGAGCGAGGCUCUGUCUGGUGGGCACAAGUGAAGUGCUGGGAGGGUCAGAACCCCCCGUGCCUGUUCGAUGGGGCAUGCGCCCUCUGUGAAGGUGGGUGUUCACCCUCCUGCUGUGGGAAACUACCUGGCCUGCUGACACUUUCUCAGGGCAGCCUGGACCAACAAAGGCUGGAGCAGGUGGGCAGUGUCUGAAAUGCGCCGUCCCUGCCCUCCCAGCCCCUGGGACCUCCCUCAGCUCGGCCCUGGGUCCCCACGGAGCCCCCGGGCCGCUCUGGGUCCCCAGGGGGACCAGCUCACUUCAGGAACGGGGCCUAAGGUGGGGGCGUUGGCCCUCUGCUUGCAGGGUGGGUGAGUGGCCCAGAUGAGAGGGAGUGCAGCCGGGUUUGCAGCGUCCACCACGUCAUCCCGCGUCCUUGGAGAGUUGCUUCUGUCCUGAGCUGUUCUGGGCAAGCCCCAGGGCAGGGUCAGGCUGCAGCCGUGCCUACCUGCUCCGCUCUGUGCGUGCUGAGCUGCUUGCGGGCCCGGGUCCCGCACUGGCCAGGGAGUGUCUGUCCGAAGUGCUGGCUGGUCGGCUGUCUCGAGAGUCAAGGUCUGUCCCCCACAGGAAACCUCAGAGGGUCUCCAUCCAAGUCAGGUGUGUAGGCGGCGCCUGCGUCUGGGUCGGGGGUGGGCUGGGAGGGCUCUGUGCAGCCCUCCGGCGAUGGGGAGCCUUGUGCCUUUAGAGGUACUGGUCUCUGUUGUCGUCAUCGUCAGCAGUCUGGGGGCUCUGCCUGUUCCCACGGAGUGUGAUGGCCCCUCGGGUGACAGCAGCAGGCUGUGGAUUGCAUGCCCCCCCAUGGGUUCAGCCCCUCCACAGCAGUGCUGGCCUGGCUCGGCCGCGCCCCUGCCUGCAGGCGGAGCCCGGCGCCUGUCCCAUUCUGAUGAGGAAGCAGGAUGUCCUGGUUUCGGAUUUUGAAGUGAGUGCUCUUUGUGAAUGGCUUAGUCGCCUCAGGUCCCAGGCAGCAGUGGGCUUUCCUGGGAAACCAGCAGGGCCGUGGAACGCCCACAUGGGUCCCUGGGUCCGAUCCCCGGGACGUUCUGCCUGGCAAGCAGCUGGCUGGGGUUUCACCACCAGUGACCCGCGAACCCCGCCUUUCCGUUUCUGUUCCCCCACCUGCCGUUGUGACCUCUGAAUCCCGAGAGGCUGUGACCUUGUGCGAUCGCCAUUGCAGCCCCGUUUCAUGAGCGAGGUGACACAACUCAGCGUGCUCGAGAUCCCAGCCUGGCGCCACACGGCUGGGCUGGUCGGUGGCAGACCGAGUGGGCCCUCGGUCUCCAUCGCACGGGCCCCUGGGUCUCCGUCGGGGGCGAGGGCCUGGGUCAGCUGAGGCCCUUUGCUGCCGCACAUCUGAGCACACCGCCCCCCUGGCCCCGCUGCCAGAACCAGGGGAUGAAGGACACGACGUCUGCAGCCGCUGUUCCGAAGUCUAACUUGGGAGCAAAUCGUUAACCUCAGGUUCUCUCAAGCAUGGACUGUGGGCUCCUGUUCUAGCCGGUGCUCUUGCUCUCAUUAAAGCCAAGACUGUGUGUGUUCCAGGGUUGCUCCAGGUUUAAGUUCAUCUGGGCAGCCCGUCAGGCCCUCCUGGCUCCCGGACACCCGGCUGCGUGCGCGCCGCUGGGUCCACGAGUGGAAACAGAUGUGUCCCGUGGGAAAGCCGCCGUUUAACCAGCACACACACUCGAUUGGUCCCGUAAUUGAUGAACGAGGAUUUUGAGGUUACGCCCCGCAGUCGGACUUUGAAACAGUGGUCUGCAUGUUCGUAAUGGUAGAAAGUCAGCGGCCACUUUUGUUUACUCAUGUGGCUUUUUGGGGCCGCCCCCGCAGCAUGUGGAGGGUCCCAGGCUAGGGGUUGCAUCGGAGGUGCAGCUGCCAGCCUCCGCCGCAGCCACAGCAACGCGGGAUCUGAGCCGCGUCUGUGAGCUACACCACAGCUCAAGGCAGCGCUGGAUCCUAAACCCACUGAGCGAGGCCGGGGACCGAACCCGCUUCCUCAUGGGUACUAGCCGGGCUCAUUUCUGCUGCGCCAUAAUAGGAACUCCCGACUUUUCACUUUGGAAGGGAUGAACCGUCGAAAGUUCACCCCUUGGCUGUCGGUUCUCCCGUGAGUGCCGGGAGCUGUCAGGGGCUUGGUUGCGUGUGUUUAUAGAGCGACUUGCAGAGUCGCUCCAGUGCCUUUUUCCCUGCUCUUGGCCCUGAGCCUGUUUUCAUGUUGAAGAGCAUGGCCGAGUUCUGUAAGCUGACGACUCCGUUCGAAGCGCAAGAGGGACGCGGCCCGCACGAGAGCUCUCCUCGCACGCGGCCCUUUCCCGGAAGCCGGGCUGACUCUCGCGCUCUGCCCUAGGCCACCG
rnacentral:lncRNA from 1 species